UACCAGCACCCCGAGUGGUCGGGACGAUUAUUGGGCCUAAAGCAUCCGUAGCCGGUUCUACAAGUCUUCCGUUAAGUCCACCUGCUUAACAGAUGGGCUGCGGAGGAUACUAUGGAGCUAGGAGGCGGGAGAGGCAAGCGGUACUUAGUGGGUAGGGGUAAAAUCCGUUGAUCCAUUGAAGACCACCAGUGGCGAAGGCGGCUUGCCAGAACGCACUCGACGGUGAGGGAUGAAAGCUGGGGGAGCAAACCGG
rnacentral:rRNA from 1 species